rnacentral:rRNA from 1 species
UACGUAGGGGGCAAGCGUUAUCCGGAUUUACUGGGUGUAAAGGGAGCGUAGACGGCAUAGCAAGUCUGAAGUGAAAGCCCGUGGCUCAACCGCGGAACUGCUUUGGAAACUGUUAAGCUGGAGUACUGGAGAGGCAAGCGGAAUUCCUAGUGUAGCGGUGAAAUGCGUAGAUAUAUGGAGGAACACCGGUGGCGAAAGCGGCUCUCUGGCCUGUAACUGACACUGAGGCUCGAAAGCGUGGGGAGCAAACAGG